rnacentral:rRNA from 1 species
UACGUAGGGUGCGAGCGUUGUCCGGAAUUACUGGGCGUAAAGAGCUCGUAGGUGGUUUGUCGCGUUGUCCGUGAAAACUCACAACUCAAUUGUGGGCGUGCGGGCGAUACGGCAGACUGGAGUACUGCAGGGGAGACUGGAAUUCCUGGUGUAGCGGUGGAAUGCGCAGAUAUCAGGAGGAACACCGGUGGCGAAGGCGGUCUCUGGCAGUGAACUGACGCUGAGGAGCGAAGCGUGGGAGCGAACAGG